GACGAACCGUGCGAACGUUAUUCGGAAUCACUGGGCUUAAAGCGCGUGUAGGCGGGCCGCCGCGUCGGCUGCUGAAAUCCCCCGGCUCAACCGGGGAACGGGCACCGAUACGGGCGGCCUCGAGGGGGGUAGGGGGGUCUGGAACUUCCGGUGGAGCGGUGAAAUGCGUUGAGAUCGGAAGGAACGCCCGUGGCGAAAGCGAGGCCCUGGACCCUUUCUGACGCUGAGACGCGAAAGCCAGGGGGAGCGAACGGG
rnacentral:rRNA from 1 species